rnacentral:rRNA from 1 species
UACGUAGGGGGCUAGCGUUGUCCGGAAUCAUUGGGCGUAAAGCGCGUGUAGGCGGCUCGGUAAGUCCGCUGUGAAAGUCGGGGGCUCAACCCUCGGAUGCCGGUGGAUACUGUCGGGCUAGAGUACGGAAGAGGCGAGUGGAAUUCCUGGUGUAGCGGUGAAAUUCGUAGAUAUCGGGAGGAACACCAGUGGCGAAGGCGGCGACCUGGGCCAAUAUUGACGCUGAGGUGCGAAAGCGUGGGGAGCAAACAGG